rnacentral:lncRNA from 1 species
CUUGGGAAGAGCAGAAUAGCCAGCAUUACUGGUGAAUUUUGGGACAAUCUUGUGUGAGGAAGAGACUCUGGUAAAGGGACUCAUGAAAUAACCUUACUUCCUUGACAAUGGGAAAACAGAAUUUGGGUCCAUGGCAGCCAGGCACCCACAGGCAGAACCAGCCCCAGCCAGCUCAGUUGUCUGGAGACCAUGAAGGAGUGAUGAUCUUUUGUUGUCUUCCCAGUUGCCAAGGUUCAGGCCUCAGGUAUUGAGUAAAGGCUUCGCCCGUGUCUGGAGAUGCUAGGUCAGUCCUCUCCCCCCGGAUGCAUCUAGAGAUUUUCCUGGAGGAACCCAGAAGUGACAGGGAACAGGCCAAGGCGGGUUGGCAUAAUCUAGCCCAAUACUCUGAUCACCCUACCCCAAACAUGGCCCCAGAGGCUCCCCAGGUGUGUGUGAGUGUGUGUGUGUGUGUGUGUGUGUGUGCGUGUGUGUGUGUAAAUAUGGAAGAAAAUACUUUUGGAGCUCUUUUUCACUUCACUGUAUGGACAUUAGUCAUUUUACAGUUUGCGACUAUUUCCACAUUAGAAUUAUCCCUUCUUGGUUCCAUCCAAGGGCAAAAAUGAGUCAGUCCAAACACUGAAUGAGCAUGACAGGGUAGGGACCUUGGAGACAGGCAUAGUGGAGAAGCUUAUAAACCACCUGGUGCUUGCCCUGUGGUGUGGGGACCCCUUCUUCAUACCUGCUUCCUGCAUACCUUCCAAAGUUUCAUUACCACCCAGCAAGUGCUAAACCUGCUAUACAAAAGGUGCACACCACCUCCAAGCCCAAGGGCACUUGCCCCUUCAGGCUGGGUCUUGGGAAUGCCAUAACAGUUUUCUGAGCCCCAGUGAGCUCUGUGAAAGCUGGGGGUUUCGGAGGAACACCAUCCUAGGGUGUUUUGAGGAUCAAAUAGGAUGAGCCCUCCAAGUGCUUGCCCCAGGCCUAGCCCUAUGCAAUGGGCUGCCUGGGGCUGUGGGCUUCUCUGUGUGACUGUCCCCUUCCCCAUAAAGCAGCACCUCUGCCUCAGGCCUUACUUCUUUGAGGCAUCAGGCAAAGCAGUUUCCUCAGUUGGGUUUUGGAUCAGGAGGGAGGGCUCCUUUCUCCAGAGUGGGAUACUUGGGAGGCUGGGGGAGAGGACAGAUGGGCAAACCCAGGGUCCCACACUUGUUUGGAUUCACACUAGAGGGCUGACAUUUGGGGCUUCGCCUUCAGGAGGAAGAGACAGCUGUAGGUGGGAUCCCAGGCAUCCAGGGAGAAGCAGAGGGGAGGCUGGUGGCUCAGACCAGGGGCACUCUUCAGGAUUUAUCCCCACCACAACCCCUCCAAGCCAGGCUUGAACAGGAUGUGUAGGGAAUGGCCUGCCCACACAUGGGCUUCACAACUCUGCUCUCCGUGCCCAUCUGUACAUGAGUAAUGUGGCCCGAUAAGGGGCCUUGAAAAGGUCCAGGGGAAGGCCAGGCCAGGCCCCUGAUUGUUGUCUGCCUGCUUGCCCCUGGUGCUUCCUGCUCCAUCCUGAAAACCUGGCUGAACAAAUACCCUGAGAAUUUCUGACCUGGCAAACAUAAGCAGUACCUCUGCCUCAAGCCUUACUUCUUUGAGGUAUUAGGCCUAUGUGCUACCUGGCUCAGACCUUACUCUGAGGCCACAGACUAUAGAAGGACCUGUGUUUCAGUGAGGCUGAGCCCUAUGGUGAGGAGGUUUGGGCUGGGUGACUAAAAACAUUUGAGGGGGUCAGUACUUGGCCCCAGCAGGAGGAAGCUCCAGGAGCUGGCUUUUGGUCAGGAACAGGAGCCUGCAGGCAGGGGACCCUAGUCUAGGAAGACAUCCUGUUGUGGGGACUAGGGCUUCUCUUGGAGGCAGGGGUCUUCUAUGAAUGGAAAAGGCUCAGGGAAAGGCAGUCAUGUUUGAGAUACAGAGCUGUCUCUGUCAGCAGCCUUCCUAAUUCAAUCCUUAGAUUUGGGGUAGCCCAGAGACAGAGGCCCUGAUCUUGAAGAGAAGGAAUAAUCAGUGCUAAUAUCAACAUUGAAGGAAGGGUCAGCUCCAAUACCAUCCCCAGGGAGAGACCAUGAGUCACAGGUCCAGCUACAAAGCAGGAGGAAGCUCAGUCCCAGGACAUUCCACCUCUGGCAGCACAUAUUCCAGCUGUACAUAUGUGGCAGCUGUGGCCACCUCAGUGGAGGUACAUCCAUCUUCCCUUCUGGCAGCUGAUCUUCCAGUCAUGGGGGAUUUAGAGCUUGCAGGUCCAGAAGCAGCCAAACCAGACUUCAUUCCACAUAGUCUGGAUGCUCUGGAUCACAUGGUAAUUGGGGCAACAUUUAUUGGGGUAGAGCCCCCUCCUCCUGGGACAAUGGACCUUCCAGCCAAUAUGGAACAAGAGCUGGCAGGUUUCCACCUGGACAGCACGUGGCCCAGCAGCUGAGGAUCCUGGGAAGGAUGGGGCCACCUCUAUGGAGAUAGACAUCUUGCUUUGAGGCAGCUAAUCCUCCAGCCAUUGGGAAUCUAAAGCUUGCAGGUCCAGAAGCAGUUGAGUCAAACUACAUUCCAAUUCUGGCAGCACAUGGUCCAAAUGCUGUGGAUCCUGAGACAGCUGGGCCAACAUUUGUUGGGGUAAAGCCCCCCACCCCUACUCCUGGAGCAACAAACCUUCCAGCCAAUAUGCAACAAGAACUGGUAGAUUUAUGUGGGGCUGAGUCAGAGCCCAUUCCACCUCUGGUAGCACAUGGCCCAGCAGCUGAGGAUCCUGGGAAAUCGGGAGCCAUCUCUGUGGAGACACAGCCAUCUCUCCUUUUGGCAGCUGAUCUUCCAGCUAUGGGGGGUCUAGAGCUUACAGGUCCAGAAGCAAGCCAGACCCAAUUCCACCUAGGGCAGCACACCUUCUGGCUGUCGUGGAUCUAGAGCCCUUUCAGGCACCUGACCUCCCUCAGUGUCAGUUCCUGAUCUUCACUCAUUGCCAGCUCCCCUACCACUUAUGUCCUUCCCUUCCCCUGGAAAACUGUCCUGUUUAUUUUUUCUUACACUUCUUUUUUUUACAUG